UACGUAGGGUGCAAGCGUUAAUCGGAAUACUGGGCGUAAAGCGUGCGCAGGCGGUGAUGUAAGACAGAUGUGAAAUCCCCGGGCUCAACCUGGGAACUGCAUUUGUGACUGCAUCGCUGGAGUACGGCAGAGGGGGGAUGGAAUUCCGCGUGUAGCAGUGAAAUGCGUAGAUAUGCGGAGGAACACCGAUGGCGAAGGCAAUCCCCUGGGCCUGUACUGACGCUCAUGCACGAAAGCGUGGGGAGCAAACAGG
rnacentral:rRNA from 1 species